UACGAAGGGAGCUAGCGUUGUUCGGAAUUACUGGGCGUAAAGGGCGUGUAGGCGGUACCAUAAGUCAGAUGUGAAAGCCCCAGGCUUAACCUGGGAGGUGCAUUUGAUACUGUGGAACUAGAGAUCGAGAGAGGAAAGCGGAAUUACGAGUGUAGAGGUGAAAUUCGUAGAUAUUCGUAAGAACACCAGUGGCGAAGGCGGCUUUCUGGCUCGAUACUGACGCUAAGGCGCGAAAGCGUGGGGAGCAAACAGG
rnacentral:rRNA from 1 species